UUAAUUAGUAUUAGAUAUUUUCUUAAAAAUUAAAAGAUUUGGCGGUAUUUUAAUCUUUUCAGAGGAACCUGUUCUAUAAUUGAUAAUCCACGAUAGAAUUUACUUAUUUUACAAAUUUAUAUAUCAUCGUAGUAAAAUAUUUUUUUAGAAUUAUAAUAUUUAAAAAGUUUGUUAAAAAUAUAAAUCAGAUCAAGGUAUAGUUUAUAAAUAAGAAGAAAUGGGUUACUAAAAUUUAUUAUUGGUUAAUAUUACAAAAUAAUAUUAUUAAAAAGGAUUUGAUUGUAAUAUAUAUUUAUUAAUAUAUAUGAUAUUAGCUCUAAAAUAUGCACACAUCGCCCGUC
rnacentral:rRNA from 1 species